rnacentral:misc_RNA from 1 species
GAUGAAGAACGCAGCGAAAUGCGAUAAGUAAUGUGAAUUGCAGAAUUCAGUGAAUCAUCGAAUCUUUGAACGCACAUUGCGCCCGCCAGUAUUCUGGCGGGCAUGCCUGUUCGAGCGUCAUUUCAACCAUCAAGCCCCCGGCUUGUGUUGGGGACCUGCGGCUGCCGCAGGCCCUGAAAAGCAGUGGCGGGCUCGCUGUCACACCGAGCGUAGUAGCAUACAUCUCGCUCUGGGCGUGCUGCGGGUUCCGGCCGUUAAACCACCUUCAUAACCCAAGGUUGACCUCGGAUCAGGUAGGAAGACCCGCUGAACUUAAGCAUAUUCAAUAAGCGGAGGA